AGAGUUUGAUCCUGGCUCAGGACGAACGCUGGCGGCGUGCCUAAUACAUGCAAGUCGAGCGGACCGAACGAGGGCUUGCUCUUGUUUGGUCAGCGGCGGACGGGUGAGUAACACGUGGGCAACCUGCCCGCAAGACCGGGAUAACUCCGGGAAACCGGAGCUAAUACCGGAUAACACCGAAGACCGCAUGGUCUUCGGUUGAAAGGCGGCCUUUGGGCUGUCACUUGCGGAUGGGCCCGCGGCGCAUUAGCUAGUUGGUGAGGUAACGGCCCACCAAGGCGACGAUGCGUAGCCGGCCUGAGAGGGUGACCGGCCACACUGGGACUGAGACACGGCCCAGACUCCUACGGGAGGCAGCAGUAGGGAAUCUUCCGCAAUGGGCGAAAGCCUGACGGAGCGACGCCGCGUGAGCGAAGAAGGCCUUCGGGUCGUAAAGCUCUGUUGUGAGGGACGAAGGAGCGCUGUUCGAAGAGGGCGGCGCGGUGACGGUACCUCACGAGAAAGCCCCGGCUAACUACGUGCCAGCAGCCGCGGU
rnacentral:rRNA from 1 species